AUUUUUCCCCUCUCCAACACCAUCUCCCUCAAUUGUUCCAUCUAACCCAGUUCAGAAAAAGUCGAAAAAGCUCUCGACAGCAGCUAUAAUCGCAAUCUCAGUUGGGUCCGCUCUAAUUCUCUGUCUCCUCUUACUCUUCCUCCUCCUCUGCCUGCGCAGGCGCCAGCGCCGGCAGCCCCCGAAGCCACCAAAGCCCGAAACAACCCGAUCCAUAGUGGCUGAGACCGCCACCUCCUCUUCCAAGGACGACAUCACCGGCGGGUCAGCUGAAGCAGACAGAAACAAGUUGGUUUUCUUCGAGGGCGGCGUCUACAGCUUUGAUUUGGAAGAUUUGCUGAGGGCUUCAGCAGAGGUGUUGGGCAAAGGAAGCGUAGGGAC
rnacentral:lncRNA from 1 species